UAAUACGUAGGGUCCGAGCGUUGUCCGGAAUUAUUGGGCGUAAAGGGCUCGUAGGCGGUCUGUUGCGUCGGGAGUGAAAACUUACAGCUUAACUGUGAGCGUGCUUCCGAUACGGGCAGACUUGAGGUAUUCAGGGGAGAACGGAAUUCCUGGUGUAGCGGUGAAAUGCGCAGAUAUCAGGAGGAACACCGGUGGCGAAGGCGGUUCUCUGGGAAUAUCCUGACGCUGAGGAGCGAAAGUGUGGGGAGCGAACAGGAUUAGAUACCCUGGUAGUCCACACCGUAAACGUUGGGCGCUAGGUGUGGGAUCCAUUCCACGGGUUCCGUGCCGCAGCUAACGCAUUAAGCGCCCCGCCUGGGGAGUACGGCCGCAAGGCUA
rnacentral:rRNA from 1 species